AGGAGCUUACAUUCUGACACCUUGCUGGAGCAUGCUUAAGUGUGUCUGCCACAAUGUCCUCCACUGUUGCUUGCUGGAUUCUAGGAUUGGACAUCAUCACUGCCUCUUGGUCUCUUCCCUUUCUUCCCCUUCAGACUAAACUCCUUCCACACACUGUAGGAGGCCAGUGCCCGCAUCACCCGUCGGGUGUUUUCCCCAGGGUUUGGACCUCCAACAAGACUUAAAUGGUGUGUCUACAAGAUGGAAUACAUUUUCAAAAUGGUAAUAACUUUUGUUAUUUAACUUAAUUCUAACACUUUUUUUGGCAUUUCACGGAUAGGUCACUAUUAACAUACCACUCUAUUCCGAAAUGUCUCCUCUUUCAUUUUUUCUUCGAGAGAGAGGAGUUCCUCCAUAGUGCCACACACAUCAAGGCUCAUCUCCUCCACUCGCUGACUAGUCCCAUCACCCAGGGCACGAGCAUAGAGUUCAUACAGGGCUGCUGUUGAGCUCCUCAUCGCCUUCAUCUCACUCUCUAUGCUGAUGAUUCUCUGAGUGAGUAGGCUCAGGAGGUGAUCUGGGGGAAUCAAGAUUGAUUCAUUCAAAUAAAGGUUCAUACCUUCAUCAGAGCUGCUGAGACACACUGGCCGUUUUUUUCUCUUGGGAACGUCAUCAGAGCUCUCCACAGAAGACUGCACAGGUGCUCUUUUGGACCACUUUUUUGCAGUUUCAUAGUCACCUGAA